UUUAAAAAAUAUUUAUUCUGUUAUUUGCAUGUGAUUAUGAAUAUUAUGUUGUAAUCUAGUGAUUUUUAUUCCAGGAUAAGUUUCCUGUACCAUAUUAUACCUAAUAAGUAAUAAAUAAGAAAAGUAAAAGUGAUGUAUCAUUAGAUAUAUACUAAAUAUUAUGAAGUACAUCGAAAUUUAUAUAUUAUAGAUACAAAUUAUGAAAAUAGUAAACGCAUAAAUAAAUCAUUAAGUACGAAACUUUGUUAAAUGAACUUAUAUCGUGAUUUUUAUCCGUUACAGUAAAAAUAAUUAUUGUCGUCUAUGGUCAGUGCCCCUAGCUAUGUAUGUGUAUUGUGUAUAUUACGAUUAAAGAUAGUAUCUACUAUCCUUAAUCGUGGUGUAUAUUUAUAUAAAUAUGGUUAUAUUAAGCUUCAAUAUAAUACAUAUUAUAUGUUUGGAGUGUUUUGACACUGACAUAAAAUAUAGAUAAUUUGAUAACUGAUAAUAAUAAUAACGGAUAAACAUAACAUAGCAAUAAAUAUUAAAUACCAACGCAGGAAAUACACAAAAUAACAAAUAACAAUUCUAUUAUAAGAUUCUUGUUACAGUAGCUGAUCGUCCACAGUCAUAAUAAUUAUGAAUAUUCAAAGUGAACCUGCAGUAAAUAAAUGGAUAUCAGAGCACGUAGUAAUAUGGUGGUAUACUUGGAGAGUCCCGAUAAACACCAAUAUUACUUACAGACAGACUCAGCAACUACCGCAGAAACAACUAUGGCCAUUGGCCAUAACCGUGCAUAUACAGUUUACAGUUAAAAGUGGACUAGACCGUUAUUAAUUAAACAACACUUCUAAUGUAUAUAUGAUUUCAAAGGGAAACAACUGUGUAAAUCCAGAACAAGCGUAACAGCUGGAAAUCAGAAAUUGAGAAAAAAAUCCCAUCAAGCAGCACCAAUUAACAAGUUCACAAGCCAUUAGACAAGGAACCCCAACACAUUGGAAAAGAGGAAGAUCAAGGCAAUAAAUAGAAUAUUAAUUUUUUUUUUUUUAUACCAAACACGUAAAAUUAGCACUUCCAUUUUAUAAUAUAUUUUUUUACAUAA